ACUCCUACGGGAGGCAGCAGUGGGGAAUAUUGCGCAAUGGGCGAAAGCCUGACGCAGCAAUGCCGCGUGAGUGAGGAAGGCCUUCGGGUUGUAAAACUCUGUCAGAUAGGAAGAAUUGCCAAGGGUCCAAUAGGCCCUUGGAGUGACGGUACUAUCAAAGGAAGCACCGGCUAACUUCGUGCCAGCAGCCGCGGUAAUACGAAGGGUGCAAGCGUUGUUCGGAUUUAUUGGGCGUAAAGCGCGCGCAGGCGGGCAGCUAAGUCAGAUGUGAAAUCUCGGGGCUCAACCCCGAAACUGCGUCUGAAACUGGUUGCCUAGAGUUUCAGAGGGGAGAGCGGAAUUUCGCAUGUAGGGGUAAAAUCCGUAGAGAUGCGAAGGAACACCAGAGCCGAAGGGGGCUCUCUGGCUGACAACUGACGCUGAGGCGCGAAAGCGUGGGGAGCAAACAGGAUUAGAUACCCUGGUAGGCGUAGU
rnacentral:rRNA from 1 species